GUUAAAGCACUCGUUCUCGUUCGAACACUGAAAUUAAGCAACGCUGAACCUGGUCAGUAGCUAGAUGGGUAACCGCUCGGGAAUGCCAGGGAAU